rnacentral:rRNA from 1 species
UACGAAGGGGGCUAGCGUUGUUCGGAAUUACUGGGCGUAAAGCGCACGUAGGCGGACUUUCAAGUCAGGGGUGAAAUCCCGGGGCUCAACCUCGGAACUGCCUUUGAUACUGUUAGUCUUGAGCUCGGAAGAGGUGGGUGGAAGUCCUAGUGUAGAGGUGAAAUUCAUAGAUAUUAGGAAGAACACCAGUGGCGAAGGCGGCCCACUGGUCCGAUGCUGACGCUGAGGUGCGAAAGCGUGGGGAGCAAACAGG